ACUGGCUGACAGACACAGAGCUGUGACACAGACAGGUUGCUGAGAAAGCCACCUUUGGGAAACAGAUGUGCAGAUCCUGCAGCUUGUACAACCCCCAGCCCCAUGAACUCCGUGCCCUGGAGUGAGAGCCCAGCCCUUUUCUGGCCAUCACCCAGCUGUGGCCACUUGGCCCUGAGGCUGUGCAGGUGAGUGAGGAGCUGCCCAGCACCUCAGCCUGCUCUGAGACACGCAGUUGGAUCUGCCUUUUCCUUGCUGCAACUCGGGUUCUUCUGGCAAAACCAACCCACAAUCUCCAGUAUCAACAUGCAGCACAGACAAGGCUAGAGGCAAGAAUUUCUCACCAGGUGCAGAACUCUGAUUAGAGCAGAUAUAAAUAACGAGUGUGAGAAACAGCUCGACCUGUCUGAUGAUGUGACACUGCCUGUACUUCAUUCCUCAUCCUGGGAAGGCACUCCUGAACUUUGUGGCUUCAUAUGAAGUUUGCAAGAUCAAUUGUAACACAGGACCUGGGUACCUCAUCAGACAUUCACCUGCUGAGAUGUGUGCAGCACACUAUGGCAGGCACUGGCUUGGGUGGCCUGGAAGAUCUCACCAAGAAGCCCAAGUCCCAUUAAUGCCACAUGAACAAAGUUUGCUCUGUGGUCACUUUGAGGUUACCAAGACACUGAAAUUGCAUUUUAACUGUGGAUUUGGUUAGGUUUUUCUCAUAGUUAGGAAUUGGUGGCAAUUGCUCUCAGUUAUCCAUCCAAAUGUGAAUUGAUUUGCUGUGGUUUGUUUCCCUUUGGCUGUGGUUACUGUGUCAGCAAGGAGAAGGAGCAGGCAUGGAUGGGCCCUUGGAAAACAUUUGAUAAGGCACAGAGUGACCUUUGCUGCUCUACUGACCCAAAGGUGCAGAGAGAAAACACGGGCAGGGUGAGUGGGGACAGAGCUGGGCACAGGACAUGGAGAGAAAGCAAAGAAGUGUUACCUGCUGCAUCCUGCACUAAGGGAACGUCACUUUUUACUGGAGUUGGAGUGGCAACGAUGGGCGAAAACCCAGCGGUGCUGGCGGCAGGCAUGACAAUGCCUCUGCUGGCUCCCAGAGUGGCACUGAGCAAGGAGUACGAGAGACAAGACGGAGAGAAGAGAUAGGGGAGGGUGGGAAGGGGAGACCUAAGCAGGGCUUGUGAGAAAGAUGGAGGCAGAGAUGGUGGUGGAGGUUGUGGUGCAGGGUGGGUUGCAUCAUCGGCGGCAGCAGUAGCAGUAGAAGGAACCAGGCAGCCUGGAGAAUGUGGAGAGAAAAAAAGCAGAAAAAAAAAGAAAAGAAAAAACAAUAAAACCAAACAAACAAACAAAAAAAAAUAUACAAAAAACCCCAAACAAAACAAAACAAGAAACAAAAGAACUGAAAUGAGAACCCAAGAGCAGAAGCAA